GCUGGGCGCGGUGGCGGGCACCUGUAAUCCCAGCUACUCGGGAGGCUGAGGCAGGAGAAUUGCUUGGACCUGGGAGAUGGAGGUUGUGGUGAGCUGAGAUUACGCCACUGCACUCCAGCCUGGGCAACAGAGCAAGACUCGGUCUCAAAAAAAGAAAAGAAAAAGAAAUUUAUGGGCUGAUGUUGCCCAGGCUGGAGUGCAGUGGCCAAUCUCAGCUUACUGCAACCUCUACCUUCCGGGUUCAAGUGAUUCUUCUGCCUCA
rnacentral:sRNA from 1 species